rnacentral:rRNA from 1 species
AAGAGUUUGAUCCUGGCUCAGGAUUAACGCUGGCGGCGCGCCUAAUACAUGCAAGUCGAACGGAAACCUUCGGGUUUUAGUGGCGAACGGGUGAGUAACACGUAAGCAACCUGCCUUUAAGACGUGGAUAACAAUUGGAAACAGUUGCUAAGACAGGAUAGGAAAUUAAGAGGCAUCUUUUAAUUUUUAAAAGACCUUUUUCGAAAGGUAUACUUAAAGAGGGGCUUGCGCCACAUUAGUUAGUUGGUAAGGUAAAGGCUUACCAAGACGAUGAUGUGUAGCUGGACUGAGAGGUCGAACAGCCACAUUGGGACUGAGACACGGCCCAAACUCCUACGGGAGGCAGCAGUAAGGAAUUUUUGGCAAUGGAGGAAACUCUGACCGAGCGACGUCGCGUGAACAAUGAAGUACUUCGGUAUGUAAAGUUCUUUUAUUGAAAAAGAAAAAAUAGUGGAAAAACUAUCUUGACAUUAUUCAAUGAAUAAGCCCCGGCUAAUUAUGUGCCAGCAGCCGCGGUAAUACAUAAGGGGCGAGCGUUAUCCGGAAUUAUUGGGCGUAAAGGGUGCGUAGGCGGUUUGAUAAGUCUAUAGUUUAAAUGCAGUGCUUAACGCUGUAGCGCUAUAGAAACUGUCUGGCUAGAGUUAGAUAGAGGCAAGCGGAAUUCCAUGUGUAGCGGUAAAAUGCGUAAAUAUAUGGAGGAACACCAGAGGCGUAGGCGGCUUGCUGGGUCUUAACUGACGCUGAGGCACGAAAGCGUGGGGAGCAAACAGGAUUAGAUACCCUGGUAGUCCACGCCGUAAACGAUGAGUACUAAGUGUCGGGUUUCGGCUCGGUACUGAAGUUAACACAUUAAGUACUCCGCCUGAGUAGUACGUACGCAAGUAUGAAACUUAAAGGAAUUGACGGGACCCCGCACAAGCGGUGGAUCAUGUUGUUUAAUUCGAAGAUACACGAAAAACCUUACCAGGUCUUGACAUAAUUUUGCGACAUUAUAGAAAUAUAAUGAAGGUUAUCAGAAUUACAGGUGGUGCAUGGUUGUCGUCAGCUCGUGUCGUGAGAUGUUAGGUUAAGUCCUAAAACGAGCGCAACCCUUGUCGUUAGUUGCGACCAUGUAAUGGUGAGCACUUUAGCGAGACUGCCAAUGAAAAAUUGGAGGAAGGUGAGGAUUACGUCAAAUCAUCAUGCCCCUUAUGAUCUGGGCUACAAACGUGAUACAAUGGCUGUUACAAAGAGUAGCUACAACGUGAGUUUUUAGCCAAUCUCAAAAAAACAGUCUCAGUUCGGAUUAAAGUCUGCAACUCGACUUCAUGAAGUUGGAAUCGCUAGUAAUCGCGAAUCAGCAUGUCGCGGUGAAUACGUUCUCGGGGUUUGUACACACCGCCCGUCAAACCACGAAAGUUGAUAAUACCCGAAAGCGGUCGCCUAACUUCGUCAGAAGAGGGAGCCGUCUAAGGUAGGAUCGAUGAUUGGGGUUAAGUCGUAACAAGGUAUCCCUACCGGAAGGUGGGGAUGGAUCACCUCCUUUCUAAGGAAACAUAGAAUCAUCAUCUUCAGUUUUGAAAGACUUAGUUAGGUUUUUCUAAUUUGAAAAACUUAGUUAAGUUUUUCUCAUUUCUUUUAUUUUUUGGUAUCCUGGGCCUAUAGCUCAGUUGGUUAGAGCACACGCCUGAUAAGCGUGAGGUCGGUGGUUCAAGUCCAUUUAGGCCCACCAAACGUUUUGCUAAAAAAAACGUGUUAUCAAAAAAAAGUUCUUUGAAAAGUAGAUAAACAAGAAAACAAUAGCCAUUUUUAAAGGAAGUAAGGGCGUACAGUGGAUGCCUUGGCACUAAGAGCCGAUGAAGGACG